rnacentral:rRNA from 1 species
CUCACACCCAUCAACGCCCGGGUACUACGAGCCCCAGCUUAAAACCCAAAGGACUUGACGGUGUCCCAUCCACCUAGAGGAGCCUGUUCUAUAAUCGAUAAUCCCCGCUAAACCCAACCUCCUCUUGCAAUCAGCCUGUAUACCUCCGUCGUAAGCUUACCAUAUGAAUGACCCCAGUAAGCUAAACGAUCAUAACACCCCAAUACGUCAGGUCAAGGUGCAGCUCAUGAGAAGGCAAGCAAUGGGCUACAAUUUCUAAUCUAGAACAAACGAAACACUGCAUGAAACUCAGCUGUGAAGGCGGAUUUAGUAGUAAAAAGAAAAUAGCGUGUUCUUUUUAACUAGGCCCUGGGACGUGUACACACCGCCCGUC